rnacentral:rRNA from 1 species
AGAACUGGCUGUUGGGUGCCGUUAGGCACUUGGUAGCGAAGCAAACGCGUUAAGUUCUCCGCCUGGGGAGUACGGUCGCAAGAUUAAAACUCAAAGGAAUUGACGGGGGCCCGCACAAGCGGUGGAGCAUGUGGUUUAAUUCGACGCAACGCGAAGAACCUUACCUACCCUUGACAUGCUUGGAAUUCUGUAGAGAUAUGGAAGUGCCCGCGAGGGAGCCAAGACACAGGUGCUGCAUGGCUGUCGUCAG